AAUAAUGAACCCAAAUUUGAGCCAUGUUUUUUUCUUUAAAUCACAAGUAAAAAUGAUUUGGUCUUGAAAAGGCAUGUACCCUUGAAUUUAAGAAAGUUAGACUUCAAGCUUCAGGACAGAUAUCUUUGUUUUUAUUCAUUGAUGCCUGACCUUCUCAAACAGCCCCAGAUAUUUAAUUAUGGUGCUGAAGUUAAAAAAGCAACAUAAUACUUUGAAUUGAUAUAUAACACUUUAACUGUGAUAACUUUUUUUGUUUCAGAGCUAUUUAUGAAGAAAUAGAUGUUUAUCCCCACAAAGGAGCUCGAAGUCAUAGUGAUUGUUGAGGUUAAAGUGGAUGAUCAAUCAGCUCACUAGCAGCACAGAAGGGCUAGCUCUCUUAGAGGGUAGAUCCUAUCCAGCUUUGAGACCUGGAAGACAAGACCUACCAACAUGUGAAAGCCACAGUGGACCAUUUCUUCUCUGCUAUAAUGAAGUAUAAGCAGAAGAAUAAUAAUUUCAGAGUAAUAUUCAUGAUUAAUGACAACCAAUCAAAAUUUCAGUAGAAUGUGGUUGUAGCAAAUAUUCACUUAAAACUUUGGAAGAACAAUUACUUAGUCCUUAGGCCAACCAGUUUAAUUGCAGUACCUUCUGUUGCCUACAUCUUCCUAUAUAUAGAAAACAAUCACACAGCUGUGAUAAAAGUAGAUAAAGAUUGUUACUUUAUUAUUAUUACUACAAAAUAAUUCUAAAUAGAUGGGAGAAACUAAAUGUAUUAUUCAGGAAGAACAUUUUGUGCCUUCACUUAACUAAAAUUGAAUGUAAGAUAAUUUGCACUUCUUUAAAAAUAAUUCUUUGAUUCUUUAUAAUGCUAAAUUAUCUUCUAUUGCCCCCUACCCUUUUUAUUAUAAUUAACAUUUCUAUUUGGAACAAAGACUACUGGAAAACAUUCAGAAUAAAUUGUGUAUUCAUUUACAUAAAUUACAAUGACAAAUAACUUAAAAUAAUUUAUUAUUAUUUUUUUAUACAGUUUUGAUCCCAGAACUUCUAUGUCAGUAAUCUUCAUAAUCCCAUCCUUCCCUUUUAACAUUCAGGGGCUUGGAACUAAGAAAGUAAAUGCAAGCAGUCUAAUUAGAUAUAUUACAUUAUUAUUACAUUAUAUUACAUUUUAUUUCAAUUUCAUAGUGUCACAAUUUCAAAGUAAUUCAAUAUUCAAAUGUAAAAUAGACCUAGACCUUAAAGGGAAACUAAAGUAAAAUUUGAAAUAAGAAUAUAAUCUUUGAGCCAUCUUAGGGCUUAGUGACUUUUCUUUCACCUUUGAAUUUUUUAAAAUAAUGGCCAUUCACACUGAAGGAAAAUAGCUGUUUUGGAGAUAAAUAAACAUGGUCCAAAGUUCUGUUCUAUAGCCUGAAACAGAUAACUGUGGGCGCGCGCGUGUGUGUAUGAAGGGCCAAUAAUUUGAAAAGCAACUGUAGAAUUAAGCUGAACAAUGAUCAAGUUCAUGCCUGCACAUGUAAGAAACAAAGCAGUUUCUCUUCAUAGUAUCACAUUCUUAAAUAUGGUAGUAAACAGUCAUACAGUCUAUAUAAACGUGGGUUUCUUAUGGUAAAAAGCUGAAACUGUUCUUUUACUUUUAAGUGGCAUAAAUUAG